CGGACGGGUGAGUAAUGUCUGGGAAACUGUCUGAUGGAGGGGGAUAACUACUGGAAACGGUAGCUAAUACCGCAUAACGUCGCAAGACCAAAGAGGGGGACCUUCGGGCCUCUUGCCAUCGGAUGUGCCCAGAUGGGAUUAGCUAGUAGGUGGGGUAACGGCUCACCUAGGCGACGAUCCCUAGCUGGUCUGAGAGGAUGAUCAGCCAGACUGGAACUGAGACACGGUCCAGACUCCUACGGGAGGCAGCAUG
rnacentral:rRNA from 1 species